rnacentral:rRNA from 1 species
ACACUCCUACGGGAGGCAGCAGUGGGGAAUAUUGCACAAUGGGCGCAAGCCUGAUGCAGCGACGCCGCGUGGGGGAUGAAGGCCUUCGGGUUGUAAACUCCUUUCGCUAGGGACGAAGCUUUUUUGUGACGGUACCUAGAUAAGAAGCACCGGCUAACUACGUGCCAGCAGCCGCGGUAAUACGUAGGGUGCGAGCGUUGUCCGGAAUUACUGGGCGUAAAGGGCUCGUAGGUGGUUUGUCGCGUCGUCUGUGAAAUUCUGGGGCUUAACUCCGGGCGUGCAGGCGAUACGGGCAUAACUUGAGUGCUGUAGGGGUAACUGGAAUUCCUGGUGUAGCGGUGAAAUGCGCAGAUAUCAGGAGGAACACCGAUGGCGAAGGCAGGUUACUGGGCAGUUACUGACGCUGAGGAGCGAAAGCAUGGGUAGCGAACAGGAUUAGAAACCCCAGUAGUCCCAUGA